AUUUCUCGCCGGCCGACUACUGAUCGCUGCUUCGCCCGAGAACUGAGGACACGGAUUGGAAGAAGGGGGUCGUGUCAGGACGGAAGCGUGGCGUGGGGAGAAGACAGGAGGGUCGGGCGUGUGCAGCUCUGCGUGGACAAGAGCGUGUGAGCUGCACUGGUGCCUAUGCGCCCGGAGGACGCGAAGGAUGCGAUCUGGGGAACCGCAACCUCACGAGCCCCGCCCGAAGCCUCUUUUCGCCCCGCGCCCCCUGCCGGUCACCCCAGCAAACACACUCCCGCACCUUCAGGCGUGCAUUCCUCUGAAUUCUCUGUAUUCCUCCUUGGCUUGCGCCCUCUUGCAGUGCCCAGGGCUUUUUCUAGGUGCUCUACUGUGCCUUCACGUCCUGACAUUCUAUCUUCUACUUGCUCCAUUCUCCUAAGGAAGGUUUUUCAUUGAGUCUUCUCAAUGUGCGCUAGGAUCACAAGAGAGCCACUGCGAUGAAAAUGAGAACGCAGCCACUGGACUGAGUGAUGCCCUUGCAUGUACAGAAAACUUGCUACAUCCCUUCAGCUUGCUAAGCCUUCCCGGAGGCCUUGAAGGAAGGACAAAGAGACCACAGUGCAGUUUGGUCUCUACCAAAAUGCCACGGGUGACCUUGCAAUACUCCCCAAGGGGUCCUCCCCUUCUUUACAUAACAGCCAUUUAAACUCAGCCUGUGGGUCUAGAAUAGCCUUUAAAACAUAUGUCACCGGGCAGAGCUGUUCUGGCUAGGUUCUGCUCUGGUCUGGUUCUCUCCACCAAGACUGGAGUCCUCACACAGUAAAAGCUGCUGCUGCCUGAAGGCGCCCCUUGUCCAGAACUGUGAGUGUCUCUAACAAGUGGAAUAAUCAGGUUUCCAAUUUUAUCUCCAUUUCAUCCUGCGUUUCCUUCAGUGUUUAUACGUCUUUACUGAGUGCACCUCUGAAACCCCCUUCACAUCUUUGCUUCUGUUUAUCAUUUUUCUUUUAAAUCCUAUGUCCUGUGAUUCAUUGAGGCAAUUCUCACUGUAGAACAUUUCCACAUCACGGCCACAUACUGUUUGGUUCUUUGUUUUAGUUUGCCCUCUAUUGCUGUGAUAAAGUCCGAGGACAAAAGCAGCUUGUGGAGGAAAGGGUUAAUCAGCUU
rnacentral:lncRNA from 1 species